rnacentral:tRNA from 1 species
GGAGAGGUGCCUGAGUGGCCGAAAGGAUCUCACUGCUAACGAGACGUAGGCUUUAAACCCUACCGCGGGUUCGAAUCCCGCCCUCUCCG